CCUACGGGCGGCAGCAGUGGGGAAUAUUGGACAAUGGGGGGAACCCUGAUCCAGCCAUGCCGCGUGUGUGAAGAAGGCCCUCGGGUUGUAAAGCACUUUCAGUGGGGAAGAACGCCUGGUGGUUAAUACCCAUCAGGAAAGACAUCACUCACAGAAGAAGCACCGGCUAACUCCGUGCCAGCAGCCGCGGUAAUACGGAGGGUGCGAGCGUUAAUCGGAAUUACUGGGCGUAAAGCGCGCGUAGGUGGCUUGAUAAGCCGGUUGUGAAAGCCCCGGGCUCAACCUGGGAACGGCAUCCGGAACUGUCAAGCUAGAGUGCAGGAGAGGAAGGUAGAAUUCCCGGUGUAGCGGUGAAAUGCGUAGAGAUCGGGAGGAAUACCAGUGGCGAAGGCGGCCUUCUGGACUGACACUGACACUGAGGUGCGAAAGCGUGGGUAGCAAACAGGAUUAGAUACCCUAGUAGUC
rnacentral:rRNA from 1 species